rnacentral:misc_RNA from 1 species
UGAAAGAAAGGCGUAAAAGGAGGUUGGCAGCUGGAGUUGUAAUUUUCAACUACAGGGAUUACAAUAACAAACUUCAAAAGACUGAAGUCACUGAAGACUUCUCCUGUCCAUUUUGCUUGAUGAUGUGUGUGAGCUUUAAGGGUCUUCGGUACCAUUUAUGCUCUUCACAUGAUUUAUUCAACUUCGAGUUCUGGGCGAGUGAAGACUACCAAGCUGUGAAUGUCUC